rnacentral:rRNA from 1 species
UACGGAGGAUCCAAGCGUUAUCCGGAAUCAUUGGGUUUAAAGGGUCCGUAGGCGGUUUAGUAAGUCAGUGGUGAAAGCCCAUCGCUCAACGGUGGAACGGCCAUUGAUACUGCUGAACUUGAAUUACUGGGAAGUAACUAGAAUAUGUAGUGUAGCGGUGAAAUGCUUAGAUAUUACAUGGAAUACCAAUUGCGAAGGCAGGUUACUACCAGUUUAUUGACGCUGAUGGACGAAAGCGUGGGGAGCGAUCCGG